GUAGUCGUGGCCGAGUGGUUAAGGCGAUGGACUUGAAAUCCAUUGGGGUCUCCCCACGCAGGUUUGAAUCCUGCCAACUACA
rfam:Danio rerio chromosome 4, GRCz11 reference primary assembly.